rnacentral:lncRNA from 1 species
GAUACUCGUACUUCUUUUACAGAUAUGGCUUAAUAAAAAUGCAUUAAACAAAUGUGAACUCCUGAGGCCUUCCUAUAAUCAUUAAAUACAUGUGCGGGGAUCUAAUAAUAGGUCUCUAAUCAGUCAUAGUACGCAUGUAUUCCUUGCCUUAAUAGUUGCACAAACUCAAUAUGAAAAUACAUGUGCAUUUGCUUAGAAAAGAAUGCUAAAAACUUUUUUUUUGUCUUUUUUUCUUUUUUUUUUGCAAAAUACUUCCCUCCCCCCAACUUAAACAUUGCAUUGUCCUCAAUGUAAUAGAUACAAGAAAAUUAUAAUGAAAGAUAGUAGAGAAAAUAAUAUUGGAGAGAAGAGGAAUACCUUGAGCUGUUGAUAUCCAGAAAAUAAAACCUACAAAACUAGAAAAAUAAUCCUAACUAAUAUACACAUACCUUUGCCUUCAUGUUUAGUCAUAAGAAGGCUCCCCCAAGAAAAAGGAGUCUUCUUCAUCUGCAAAAUUCUCAAGAAAAGGUUUAAGUCUGUGUCCAUUUACCUUAAAAAUUCUACCAUCCCGUGG